rnacentral:lncRNA from 1 species
AAGUUGAAGGUUGUUCUUAUUGCACCAUGAAACUUUUGUUUUAUAUAGUUGAUGUUAGAACAUGUUCCUAUAUGAUACUUUUUAUGUUAGUUUUUGUCAGAACUUGUUCUAUUAGUUUAUGAUGGCAGCUUGGUUUUUUUUUUUUUAUGUCAUGGAGCUUUUAACAUGUAAACAGAUGAUGUCAGUUUUUUUUAGUGCAAUGAUGAAUGCUUUAUCAUCCUUCUUCGUACUUAUUCAUUUACAAUAACAAAACCAUUGUACAUACCCCAAAAUGAUAAUCUAUUUCAUUUCCAAAACAGGAUACUUAGCCAAAUUACAAAUGAGAAUUAUGCUAUUGCAAAAUAGGCUAACAUCAACCAAGAAGCAAGAAAC